UACAGAGGUCUCAAGCGUUGCUCGGAUUCAUUGGGCGUAAAGGGUGCGUAGGCGGCGCGGUAAGUCGGGUGUGAAAUCUUGGAGCUUAACUCCGAAACUGCAUUCGAUACUGCCGUGCUUGAGGACUGGAGAGGAGACUGGAAUUUACGGUGUAGCGGUGAAAUGCGUAGAUAUCGUAAGGAAGACCAGUGGCGAAGGCGGGUCUCUGGACAGUUCCUGACGCUGAGGCACGAAGGUCAGGGGAGCAAACGGG
rnacentral:rRNA from 1 species